rnacentral:misc_RNA from 1 species
GGGUUGUAUUUUUAGGAACAAUCAAUGGCCCAGUUCAGUUAAAUAUCUGCAUCAUCUAUAGUAUCUUCUAUGAUGGCAAUGCAUGAUCCUACAGAUCUUCCCAUGGUCAUGGCUUCUGCAAGUUUAGCUCGGGCUCCCUCAUGCCGACGCAAAAUUAAGAUAGUGUUCAAGACAGACCAUCUGACUUGAGAAUCUGCUUUCUUCUGGGUAAAGCCUAAGCUCUUGAGCAGC